rnacentral:rRNA from 1 species
UACGUAGGUGACAAGCGUUGUCCGGAUUUACUGGGCGUAAAGAGCGCGCAGGUGGUCGAUCAAGUCGAGUGUGAAAGCCCCCGGCUCAACUGGGGAGGGUCAUUCGAUACUGAUCGACUCGAAGGCAGGAGAGGGUAGUGGAAUUCCCGGUGUAGUGGUGAAAUGCGUAGAUAUCGGGAGGAACACCAGUGGCGAAGGCGACUACCUGGCCUGUUCUUGACGCUGAGGCGCGAAAGCUAGGGGAGCAAACGGG